rnacentral:tRNA from 1 species
GGGGGUGUAGCUAAGUGGUAGAGCACUUAUCUAGAUGUGUAAGGUUCUGGAUUCCAUUCUCAGCACUGCCA